GUAACAAGGUUUCCGUAGGUGAACCUGCGGAAGGAUCAUUGUCGUGACCCUAACCAAAACAGACCGCGCACGCGUCACCCAUGCCGCCGGGCGGCAGCCGCCGCCCGGCCUAGGCCCGGCCUCCCGCGAGGGAGGGCGGGCCGCAACAGAACCCACGGCGCCGACGGCGUCAAGGAACACUGUGCCUACCGACCGGGGGCGCGAACGGCCCGGCCAGCCGGCGCCGGUCGCCCCCCGCGUCGCAACGCUAUCUAAUAAUCCACACGACUCUCGGCAACGGAUAUCUCGGCUCUCGCAUCGAUGAAGAACGUAGCGAAAUGCGAUACCUGGUGUGAAUUGCAGAAUCCCGCGAACCAUCGAGUCUUUGAACGCAAGUUGCGCCCGAGGCCCUCGGGCCGAGGGCACGCCUGCCUGGGCGUCACGCCAAAAGACGCUCCCCACCCCCCCUCGGCGGGGCGGAGGACGCGGUGUCUGGCCCCCCGCGCCGCACGGCGCGGUGGGCCGAAGUUCGGGCUGCCGGCGCAGCGCGCCGGGCACAGCACAAGGUGGGCGAUCUCGCACUCUCUUACGUGCAGCGCCCCGGCGCGUAGCCGGCGCAGCGGCCCAGGGACCCAUCGACCGGAGCGCACGUCGCUCGGACCGCGACCCCAGGUCAGGCGGGACUACCCGCUGAGUUUAA
rnacentral:rRNA from 1 species